GCAUAAGAAGUGGUACCAUUAUUUUCGUCUAGUUUUGACUCACUGAUAUCCUGGUUAUUAUCACUUUCUUUUCCCACAGCGGAGAACAACAAGGUGUUUUUGGAAGAUAAAAUAUUGGUGAGUUCAGCAGCUUUCAAGAUCAGCUGAUGUCAUUAUAGGUGAAACUGGAGUCCUCCAAAGAAGCUAUUCAAAAUUAUGAGCAAAGGCUAACAGUACUCAGAAAGGAGAAAGAAGAUAUUGAAAAAUCUUUCAGAGAGGAACAGCUUCGUGAUGCAUAGUUGUUGGAAGAAAAAAUUACUGAGGUCAGAAAGCAAUUUAUAGAUCAGAUACCGAAAUAUUCAAUGCGAAGAUGGAAGACUUGGAUCUCGGUUUGAGGUUGAAGGAAGACGAUAUAAAACAUUUGAGGAUAUCAGAAAAAAAUUACAAAAAGAGAAGGAUGAUCCUUUGGACAGUGGGAGGAAUUUUUCUUGCAAAUUAGACAAAGCAUUUCAAGAGAUAAAG